rnacentral:rRNA from 1 species
AUUUUGAACCGCAUGGUUCAAAAGUGAAAGACGGUCUUGCUGUCACUUAUAGAUGGAUCCGCGCUGCAUUAGCUAGUUGGUAAGGUAACGGCUUACCAAGGCAACGAUGCAUAGCCGACCUGAGAGGGUGAUCGGCCACACUGGAACUGAGACACGGUCCAGACUCCUACGGGAGGCAGCAGUAGGGAAUCUUCCGCAAUGGGCGAAAGCCUGACGGAGCAACGCCGCGUGAGUGAUGAAGGUCUUCGGAUCGUAAAACUCUGUUAUUAGGGAAGAACAUAUGUGUAAGUAACUGUGCACAUCUUGACGGUACCUAAUCAGAAAGCCACGGCUAACUACGUGCCAGCAGCCGCGGUAAUACGUAGGUGGCAAGCGUUAUCCGGAAUUAUUGGGCGUAAAGCGCGCGUAGGCGGUUUUUUAAGUCUGAUGUGAAAGCCCACGGCUCAACCGUGGAGGGUCAUUGGAAACUGGAAAACUUGAGUGCAGAAGAAGAAAGUGGAAUUCCAUGUGUAGCGGUGAAAUGCGCAGAGAUAUGGAGGAACACCAGUGGCGAAGGCGACUUUCUGGUCUGUAACUGACGCUGAUGUGCGAAAGCGUGGGGAUCAAACAGGAUUAGAUACCCUGGUAGUCCACGCCGUAAACGAUGAGUGCUAAGUGUUAGGGGGUUUCCGCCCCUUAGUGCUGCAGCUAACGCAUUAAGCACUCCGCCUGGGGAGUACGACCGCAAGGUUGAAACUC